rnacentral:lncRNA from 1 species
AUGCUACACUCGUGCUGUUUAUUUGGGUAUCUAAGAAGUGCUCCACUACAUAGAAGGAACUGGAAAUUCAUGUUGAACUGUCUGACACAUUCUUUUAGCACUGGUUCAGCUUUUUUUCCCAGUUCCUGUAUGAAGACAACUCUACUUGGAAUAUGGAAGAAUGGAAGGAGCUGGGGCGGAAAUAGAGAAAUUGGACUGGUGUAGAUAUACCCACACCAAUAAUGCAUCAGGAAGGUAAAUGACACUUCACUCCAUGUAAAAGUGUGGGAUAGUGAUUUGUUUCAGUUAUUUCUCUAUUUGUCUGAAAAUAUAAGCUCAUCUAUUUCACUUUCUCCUCAUUCUCUAGGGAUUUUAGGGAUGUCAAGGUUUUUUUCAUAGAACAACAUUUUUUCCCUUAAAAGAUGGAUCUACCAUCAUUUCUCAGCAUUGACUCUAUACAGGUAUUUAUUCUGGGAAACUCAGUGGGAUAGUAAAUCAGAAAGAAUUUUUUUAUC